UAAUAAAACAAAAAAUGAAACGCCGACUUGAAACUAACGAAGUUGACUUUAGUUGUAAAAAAAAAAAAGUAGAAGAUAGCAAAGAAAAAAAAUGGGUACAUGCAAUAUAUAAAAAAUCUGAACUGUUAAGUGAACUAAAAAAUUUGAAGUGCACUGUAAUUACCCGCCGCAAUUGGGUCUCGGGAUUUUUCAAAGAUUUUCCCGAAAAAGAUAGGGAGCUGGGUGAUUUUAUUCGUGAUAAAUUACUCGGCAAUCCGACAGAUAUACGAGACAUAAAAAAAUAUCCGGAAUUAGAAAUACAGUAUGAAAAUAUCAAACAAAGAGUUCAAGAUAAAUACAUUCAAACAAGUGACUUCUACACAGUGUGAAGAUGUCGUCAAGGAUUUUGAAAAACCUGACAAUGAUGAUAUCAUGUUUUGAGGUAAAUAAAUUUUCAAUGAUACUUUUUUCUUAACUAAUAAAUAAAAUAAAUUUUUAAUACUUUUCUGACAAAUAAAUUGUCAAUAAAAAAAUUUUUUUAAUACUUUUUUUCUUUCAACAAAUAAAUUUUCCAUAAAUAAAUUUUUAAUACUUUUUUUUGACAGAUAAAUUUUUGAUUUUUUUUUUUUUUUUCUAACAAAUAAAUUUUCAAUAUUUUUCUUGACAAAUAAAUUUUCAAUAAAUAAAUUUUUAGCAAAUAAAUAAAAUAAAUUUUCUCUUGUUUUUUAAAGACAUUGAAAUACCGGCUGACGAUGUUAUGAUAAACAAUGAAAUUCCCGUUAAUGAAAGGGUACAGGAAAAUGAUAAGAAAACACCUGUAGAUGGUCCAGUGACCGAAAAUGAAAUACCGGCUGACGAAGUUGUGGUAAAUAAUCAAAUUCCAGUUGAUGGCCCAGUGGCCGAAAAUGAAAUACCCGUAGAUGUUGAAAAAAAUGACAGGGCUAACACAGUCCAAGAACAUGAAACAGCGGCGGAAAUGUUUGCAAAUGCAAAAUUCAGCGAAGACGUUAUAGACCUAGAAAAAGAGGGUCUUGGAGAAAGAAUAUAUUCAGAAAAUGAAAAACCAAGCAUCAGAUCUGAAGAAAUAUAGCGUGAUAGACGAUAUUCCAUAAUUACUGGAAAAAAGAAAUUAUCGAAAUCGCACAAUCAAAAAAAACGCAGUAAAGAUGACAAUACUAAAAAACAGGGGGUAGUAUUGCCCACUCAAGCCAUAAAACACGGGCGAAAAAUAAUAUCAUUAGAUGAUGACAAUGGAGAAAAAGAACACAGUAAAGAUAUCAAUACUGAAAGACAGGUGCCAGUAUUACCCUCUACAAUGCAUAUAUUUGGGAAAUACGGUAAAAAAAUAAUUGCGGUAGAUGAAGAAGAUGACGUGGUUAUAUUGAGCCAAUCGUCAACGUCUUCGUCAUCAUCGUCAUCGGCUUCGUCCUCAGACCCUCCCACCAUUAUGAAUGAGAAUAAUGUUGCUGAAGAAUAUGACGAAGAACAUCAAUAUCGACCUGAAGCAGGGCCUUCAAAGCCCCGUGUCGAGAAACAAAAAAAUGAGCCUGUAGAUAUUACAGAUUUCUGCGUUGACUGCGCGGGAUAUCAAUGUCCGAAAAAAGCAGCCACACCACACCACCAGUUCUGUAAAGCCUGCCAUGAAAAAUGGCAGAUGGUUGAGCAACCGCAGUACCCACAACCCUUGCCUACAGAAAUACCAAACUCAAUUAUCGAAAAACGUCAGCAAUUAAUAAAUGAAAGAUUAACUUGUUUACAAGACGAAAUACGUGAGCUCAAAGAAACAUUGAGUAACGUAAAAUGCGAUCUCUGCGCUGGAGAACCAAUUGUGAAUGAAUUGGGUCAUUGUGAACGCUGUGCACAAUUACUAGAUUAAAUAAUAAAGUUAUUUGUAAAUAAAUAAAAUUGUUUUUAUGUCUUUUUUACAGGUAUUAUUGUAUAGAAAAAAAAAAUAAAUGAAUAAAUAAA